GGAGUGGUAGUUCAGUUGGUUAGCUUUUGUUUAACGUAAGCGGCCUGUCACGCCGGAUGGUUUAUCGCGGGUUCGAGUCCCGUUCACUGUU
rnacentral:tRNA from 1 species